UACGUAGGUGGCAAGCGUUAUCCGGAAUUACUGGGCGUAAAGCGCACGCAGGCGGUCUUUUAAGUUUGACGUGAAAGCUCCCGGCUUAACUGGGAGAGGUCGUUGAAGACUGGAAGACUUGAGGCAAUGAGAGGGGUGUAGAAUUCCCGGUGUAGUGGUGAAAUGCGUAGAGAUCGGCAGGAACACCCAGGGGGGAAACCAGCCGACGUGGGCAU
rnacentral:rRNA from 1 species